rnacentral:rRNA from 1 species
CGCGUAGGUGGCCUUCUAAGUUGAACGUGAAAUCCCUGGGCUCAACCCAGGAACUGCGUCCAAGACUGGGAGGCUUGAAUCCGGGAGAGGGAUGCGGAAUUCCAGGUGUAGCGGUGAAAUGCGUAGAUAUCUGGAGGAACACCGGUGGCGAAGGCGGCAUCCUGGACCGGUAUUGACACUGAGGCGCGAAGCCAGGGGAGCAAACG